UGUUUGCGAUGUCUGAUAAAUUGGCAAAUUACCUGCCAGGUGACAUAGUAAUGAAAUAGGAAUCACAAUCUUACCAAUCAACCAAUCAAGUUUGGAAGCAUAUAUAUCGAGCUUGCCCACAGCACAAUCACUACCAUUUUUGAACAUGGAAGAACAUCACAACACUGAACAGCAGCUACAUGCUUGUGGAAGAGAAAUAAGAAGGUAAAGAAUGAGAGUCCCUGAUGAAACCAUGUCCUCACAAUGGAAGAGGCUGGUUGGAGAGUAGAGCCUAAUGUAAACAGGUCCACAGUGUCAACAAUUGUGCAAACAUUCCAUAGGGAAAACAGAUAUCAAUCCUGUCAGCAUUUACACUAUAGACAGAGUUCUGAAAAAUGACUAUGAAACAACUCUACAAGGUGCCAUCUGAGAGGAAUAGUGACAGAGUGAAGGAGCUGAGAGAAUUAAGGACAUGGAAGGACAUGAAAAGACCAAUUCUUGUUUUUGAUUGAACAAGGCUGGGUUCAAUCUGGCCAAAGGCAGGAGACGUGGCCGUAAUCUCAUUGGACACCCAGCCACAAUUGGCACACCAGGCCAACAUGGGGGCAAUAUUCCAAUGUAUGCUGCCAUUUCUGAGAAUGGUGUAAGCACACAUAUUGCACACAUUGGGCCUUAACACCCAACUUCUCCUGGCCUUCCUUAACACACUUCACAGACACCUAACUCCAGAACAUGAAUUUCUUUUAGCUAGACCACAUUUGCAAAAUGAUGUAAUUGUGUGGGAUAAUGUCAGCUUCCACCAAACCAACAUUGAAAGGAUAACAAUCGAGUUCCUUCCACCAUACUCCCCAUUCCUGAAUCCGAUAGUUUUUUUCAGCAUGGAGGUGGAAAGUAUAUGACUAUCGGGCACAAGAUCAGAGGCCUCUGUUAGAUGUCAUGAAUGCUGCUUGUGAGGGGAUCACAAGGGGGUUGGCUGCGCCACGCAGCGAGACUUUUCCCCCGGUGCAUCGCAAGGGAAAACAUCAGAUGUGACGUUGACAAAUCUCUGGCCAGACCAACAAGAGUGACAGGAUGUCCACCAAGAUGAUGGGAACUUGUAGUGUUACGUACUGUGAGGAGGUACAAUGUAUUGUCUUUUACAGAACUACUGCAGGUUUUUUCAUUCUUGAGUGUUUUUUGUUGUUGCAUGGAUGUAAUUUUGUGGCAGAUUUUCUGUUCACUAUAUGUGACUUUACAUGUAGGAAAUAUGUAGAAAUGGACUAACAAAUGUGAAUUUUCUGUUUACAUGUAACAUAUUGCUACAAAGAAAUGUACUGUAUACUUACAAAUGUACAUAUCCUUUUCUGUGUUACAGUAUUGACUUCUCCCAGUAAACUUUUACCUACUAUUGAAAUCAGUAUCUAAAAAGCUCAGUGUGAUACACAAUAGCAUUCAGACAGACAACUGACAUUAUUGUAUAGUGCAGUCAGUGUCAACAAAGUAGAACAAAACUGAAAUUUGUAUCUAAAAUAUUUCCAGGGUUGACUGCCAUGGUGAAAAAACAAUUAAAUAUUUUGACCAGUACAGCUCACACAAUGACAAUUUUUUGUUUAAAUUUUGGUGGCAUUGGCCAAUUUACUGACACAAUAACUAGGUUUUAAUAACUAGCAUGAAUUGAAUGUUUUGGGUGCGUUACUACAUUUCGCAGACAUGCAAUAGAGUUGUGAUGUCCCAUAAAACAUUUGUGACAAUUGCACUUACCGUUAAGAGAAUGUUAAGACUGUUUCAAAAAAUGAGCCAUUGAGAAACUGUAAACCAGGGCUGCCCAACCCUCUUCAUGGAGAACUACUUCCUGUAAGUUUUCA